rnacentral:rRNA from 1 species
GCGCGAAAACUUUACAAUGCUGGCAACAGCGAUAAGGGAACCUCGGGUGCCAGGUUACAAAUCUGGCUGUCGAGAUGCCUAAAAAGCAUUUCAUAGCAAGGGCCGGGCAAGACCGGUGCCAGCCGCCGCGGUAACACCGGCGGCUCGAGUGGUAACCGUUAUUAUUGGGUCUAAAGGGUCUGUAGCCGGCCGGAUAAGUCUCUUGAGAAAUCUGGCAGCUUAACUGUCAGGCUUUCAGGAGAUACUGUCUGGCUCGAGGCCGGGAGAGGUGAGAGGUACUUCAGGGGUAGGGGUGAAAUCUUGUAAUCCUUGAAGGACCACCAGGGGCGAAGGCGUCUCACCAGAACGGACCUGACGGCAAGGGACGAAAGCUAGGGGCACGAGCCG